rnacentral:tRNA from 1 species
GCUCUUUUAGUAUUAAUCAGUACAACUGACUUCCAAUCAGUUAGUUUCGGCAAACCCCGAAGAAGAGCA